UUGGUACUACAUGUACAGGAUAGGUGGGAGGCUUUGAAACCAGGACGCCAGUUUUGGCGGAGCCAUCCUUGGGAUACCACCCUUGUAGUACUGGGACUCUAACCAUAGGCCAUGAAUCUGGUCUUGGGACACUGUCAGGUGGGCAGUUUGACUGGGGCGGUCGCCUCCCAAAAGGUAACGGAGGCGCUCAAAGGUUCUCUCAGUACGGUCGGAAAUCGUACGUAGAGUGUAAAGGCAAAAGAGAGCUUGAUUGCAAGACAUACAGGUCGAGCAAGGAUGAAAAUCGGACUUAGUGAUCCGGUGGUUCUGCGUGGA
rnacentral:rRNA from 1 species